GACCUAUCUCCUAAGCAUCUAUCAAUACGACUCUUCCACUUCGUCUUCUACGUCUCCAUUUACUGUAGAAGUCGUAACAGACCCCCCUGAUCAAUCAAUGAUGCUCUUCAAUCCCCCUUUGAUGGUUUCGUUCCACCUCUCCUUCGUUCUCCACCUAUAUAAAUCACUACAUCUAAACCUAAAUUCAGACAAAAUCGGAAACUUCCACAGAAAGAGAUCACGCCUAAAUCAAACGGAAAGUGUGUUCAUGAAGGAGAAGAUAAUUUGAGUUAUAUUUAGUUUUGUACAGCAUCAUCUUUCACAGUGCCUUGACCAAGACAUGAACCAAGAUCGGUUGAUCUCAUGGAGCCAACAUAACCAAACUGAUAAAGAGGAAAGAAGGCUGAUCAUACAGGCCUUCCAGCGCAAUUGCCUCCGGCGCCGUCGUCUUCUCUGAGUCUUCCUUGGAUUCAUCUUUAGAUUCCUGUUGUGUUGGAGUUUAUGCCUUUUGAAACUUCCUCUAAGCAUCUCUUCCACUGUAAGGGAUAUCAAGCCAAUGAGUGGGCGAGGAGGGUGAGAGCGGAUUGCGGCAACAAAGAUCGCGUUUGAACUAUUCUUUGGUCAAUAUGCUGUUGUUUCUUUUGAGAUUGUUCGAGUUUAUCUCUAUCUUCGAAAGUGGUUGUGUUGCUAACCAUGGCGUACGUCUUUCUUGGAGUGUACAGCGAAGGCAGCAGUGGUAGGGUUGACCAGUGUGGAAUUCCAGAAAGGCCUCUCGAUUGUGAACCUUUAUAUAGAGGAUAAAGUUGCUCAUGAUUUCUGAAACAACACACGCUUCUUCUUCUUAAUCCUCAAAGAUGAAUCUACCAAGUCUCCUCUCCAGAUAUGUGAUGUUUGAUCGAUCACCAAUCACCAUCCUAUUUCUCCAGAUGGGCGUGCUUGAUGGCCAUUAGUGAAGCUCUGUCAAGAGAACGACUGUAGUGGAAAAUGAAUUGUUGAAUGAGUACGAAGGUGGUGGUUGUUACGCGAAAUCAUAUAGAACUAUAUACUUCAAAUGUAUUUAUUUUUAGUUUUAUCUAUGUUCUAAGUUUAGUUAUCUAAUUAUUUAAUUUUAUUGUGUAUAUCAUGCUUAUCUAGCAUGUUUGAUGGCUUGUAACACAGUUUUAUUUAUUUGUUAUAUUUAAUAUUUCUCAUUGAUCAUAUAUAAAAAAUACAUAAUUUCUA